UGGGGAAUAUUGGACAAUGGGCGCAAGCCUGAUCCAGCCAUGCCGCGUGAGUGAUGAAGGCCUUCGGGUUGUAAAGCUCUUUCAGGUGGGACGAUGAUGACGGUACCACCAGAAGAAGCCCCGGCUAACUUCGUGCCAGCAGCCGCGGUAAUACGAAGGGGGCUAGCGUUGUUCGGAUUUACUGGGCGUAAAGCGCGCGUAGGCGGUCAUGCCAGUCAGGGGUGAAAGCCCAGGGCUCAACCCUGGAACGGCCUUUGAUACUGCAUGACUUGAGUUCGGGAGAGGGGCAUGGAAUUCCCAGUGUAGAGGUGAAAUUCGUAGAUAUUGGGAAGAACACCAGUGGCGAAGGCGGUGCCCUGGCCCGAGACUGACGCUGAGGUGCGAAAGCGUGGGGAGCAAACA
rnacentral:rRNA from 1 species